ACAAAAAAAAAUAAAAAAUUCUGCAGGCCCAGCAAUGUUCUUCGGUUGAUGUCACCGUCCAUUUCGAACCGCCAUUCUUCCUCCGGCUGCCGUUUCUACGCCACCGUUAACAUCGGCUGAUUUGGCCGUCUCAGAUCAUUUUCAUUGAUGUUGAUUUGGCCAUCGACCCACUUUGGGUGUUCUCGUCUGGUCCAUUCCUUUUCUUUCAACGUCCUGAAAGCCGCUGCUGAUGUGAAUUCCAUUCCUCGAGGUACCCAAUUGCAUAGCCUCGUCAUAAAGUUGGGAUUGGCUAAUGAACUGUCUGUACAGAAUAAACUAUUGAAGAUUUAUGUUAAAUGCAGGGAUCUGGGUCGUGCAUGGAACUUGUUUGAUGAAAUGCGUAGGAGAAAUGUUGUGUCGUGGAACACGGUGAUUUGUGGGGUUGUUGAUUGCGGGUAUGGAGGUGAGUUUAAGAUGAGGGAGCGUUCGAAUCUCUCUUGUUUUAAGAAUAUGUUGAUGGAGAUGGUAGACCCAGAUGGUGUCACGUUUAAUGGAUUGUUUCGUUCUUGUGAUGUGAUGAAUGAUGUUGGAAGUGGCAAGCAAUUGCAUGGUUUUGUGAUCAAAUUUGGGUUUGAUUUGGAUUGUUUUGUGGGGAGUGCAGUGGUUGAUUUUUAUGCGAAAUGUGGGUUAUAUGAAGAUGCGAGAUUGGCUUUUAGCAGCGUUCUGUAUAAGGAUCUGGUUUUGUGGAAUGUGAUGUUGUACUGUUAUGUGUUUAAUUGUUUGGCCGAAGAAGCGAUUGAAAUCUUUUUCUUGAUGCAGUUGGAAGGCUUUACAGGUGACGAUUUUACAUUCAGCAGCCUGCUAAGUUCGUGCAAGUAUAAAGGAUCAGGGGAAUUGGGUAUGCAGCUCCAUGUUCAUCUUAUAAAACACUCAUUUGAUUUAGAUAUUCUAGUAGCAAGUUCACUUGUCAAUAUGUAUGCCAAAAACAAUCAUUUAUAUGAUGCUCGCAAAGUGUUUGAUGAAAUGCCAAUUCGAAAUUCUGUGUCUUGGACCACUAUGAUUGUUGGGUAUGGGCAGCAAGAACAUGGGAAAGAGGCGGUGAAACUUUUGAGGAGAAUGCUUGAGGAAGAUUAUUACCCUGAUGAAUUAACUUUUGCUAGUGUGCUAAGUUCAUGUGGCUUUACUUCUGGGGCUUCUGAGCUGAUCCAGGUUCAUUCUUGCUUGAUAAAACUUGGUUUUGAAGCAUUUUUGUCUGUUAAUAAUGGUUUGAUAAAUGCGUAUUCGAAGUGUGGUGCCAUUUCCUCAGCUUUACGAUGCUUUAGAUUAAUUGCAGAACCAGAUUUGGUUUCCCGGACAUCAAUUAUAUGUGGACUUGCAUUUUGUGGGGUUGAGAAAGAUGCUGUUGAGUUAUUUGAUAAGAUGUUAUCUCAGGGCAUUAGACCAGACAAAAUUGCAUUUCUUGGUGUUCUUUCUGCCUGUAGUCAUGGGGGAUAUGCAAACAUGGGGCUUCACUACUUCAACUUAAUGACUAAUGAGUACCAAAUUGUUCCUGAUUCAGAGCAUUUAACUUGCUUGAUCGACCUUCUCGGUCGAGCGGGUAGUCUAGACGAGGCUUUUAAGCUUUUGAAAUCAGUGUCGGAGAAAGCGGGACCAGAUGCUUUCAGGUCGUUUAUUCGAGCAUGUAGAACUCAUGGGCAUUUGAGAUUAGCAAAAUGGGCAAUGGAGUUUGCAUCAGAUCCAUAUAAACCAGUGAAUUGUUCUCUAAUGUCGAAUAUAUAUGCUUCUGAAGGAAGAUGGUCAGAUGUGGCGAGAAUGCGCAAACUGAUGAAGGAUAGUUGUGAACCAAAAGUCCCAGGCUUUAGUUGGAUAGAGAUUGCUGGUUAUAACCAUUUGUUUGUAUCAAGUGAUAGAUCCCAUCCACAGUCUUCAGAUCUCUAUGCAAUGUUAGGAUUAUUACUCAACACGAUGAAGAAAGAUUACAAGUCCAUAGCGUCCAACAUAGAUAUUGAGCCCGAAUGAAUGCCAAAUCUUGGAUGGACAUGAACCAUAAUCCAUUUUGAGGGUCGGCCCUUGACGUCAAUACCUGUUCAUCUCAUCUUUCAUGCUUGAGUGAGCAAAGGAAGCAGGAGUCCAUGUUGUUAGACCAGCUGAAUAUGGUGCUUCACGAUUGUAGGCUCAACAACAGAUGCAGAGAUGAGGAAUGAGAAGCAUACAAAAAAUACUCAGGCCAUGGCAAUACUUCAACUCGCUACAAGGAUGUAAACCGAGGAAGAGGAAUGACGACAUGUAGAUAGUCAAGUGCCAAACGCUGUCAACAAUCGAAGAAUCGAAACUUAGAGAGACAAAGAGAG